rnacentral:rRNA from 1 species
AGUGAACGCUGGCGGUAGGCCUAACACAUGCAAGUCGAACGGCAGCACAGUAAGAUCUUGCCCUUACGGGUGGCGAGUGGCGGACGGGUGAGGAAUACAUCGGAAUCUACUUUUUCGUGGGGGAUAACGUAGGGAAACUUACGCUAAUACCGCAUACGACCUACGGGUGAAAGCAGGGGAUCUUCGCACCUUGCGCGAUUGAUUGAGCCGAUGUCGGAUUAGCUAGUUGGCGGGGUAAAGGCCCACCAAGGCGACGAUCCGUAGCUGGUCUGAGAGGAUGAUCAGCCACACUGGAACUGAGACACGGUCCAGACUCCUACGGGAGGCAGCAGUGGGGAAUAUUGGACAAUGGGCGCAAGCCUGAUCCAGCAAUACCGCGUGGGUGAAGAAGGCCUUCGGGUUGUAAAGCCCUUUUGUUGGGAAAGAAAAGAAGCAGGUUAAUACCCCGCUGUUCUGACGGUACCCAAAGAAUAAGCACCGGCUAACUUCGUG